ACCUUUUGUUGCCUCGGCAGAAGUUAUAGGUCUUCUUAUAGCUGCUGCCGGUGGACCAUUAAACUCUUGUUAUUUUAUGUAAUCUGAGCGUCUUAUUUUAAUAAGUCAAAACUUUCAACAACGGAUCUCUUGGUUCUGGCAUCGAUGAAGAACGCAGCGAAAUGCGAUAAGUAAUGUGAAUUGCAGAAUUCAGUGAAUCAUCGAAUCUUUGAACGCACAUUGCGCCCAUUAGUAUUCUAGUGGGCAUGCCUGUUCGAGCGUCAUUUCAACCCUUAAGCCUAGCUUAGUGUUGGGAAUCUACUUCUCUUAGGAGUUGUAGUUCCUGAAAUACAACGGCGGAUUUGUAGUAUCCUCUGAGCGUAGUAAUUUUUUUCUCGCUUUUGUUAGGUGCUAUAACUCCCAGCCGCUAAACCCCCAAUUUUUUGUGGUUGA
rnacentral:rRNA from 1 species